rnacentral:misc_RNA from 1 species
AACGCAUAUGGCACCCGAGACUUCUGUCGAGGGUACGUCUGCCUCAGAGUCGGCGUGAAACCUCCACCCCCCCGGUCAACGGGCGGGGUCGGGAGCUGGCCUUCCCACGACCGCGGUAAGAGCGUGCCGUGGGUCGGCCGAAGGGGAGACACGGCGCGGCGCCGGGAUCUAUCCCCGGUGGCGACCACGAUUUGGUGGGAGGACCGCAGGUCCGCAUCAUCGUCGUGGCUGCCACCGCACGGGAACCGGGGUCCGCACCGCCUCACUAACUCUUAAAACUUACCAUUCGACCUGAGUUCAGGCGAGAUCACCCGCUGAACUUAA